rnacentral:rRNA from 1 species
GACGAACGCUGGCGGCGUGCUUAACACAUGCAAGUCGAACGGAAAGGCCAUGCUUUUGUGGUGUGCUCGAGUGGCGAACGGGUGAGUAACACGUGAGUAACCUGCCCUUGACUUUGGGAUAACUUCAGGAAACUGGGGCUAAUACCGGAUAGGAGCUCCUGCUGCAUGGUGGGGGUUGGAAAGUUUCGGCGGUUGGGGAUGGACUCGCGGCUUAUCAGCUUGUUGGUGGGGUAGUGGCUUACCAAGGCUUUGACGGGUAGCCGACCGGAGCGGGCGAACGGCCAAAAUGGGAACGAGAGACGGCAGAGACGACUACGGGGGGAAGCAGGGGGGAAUAUUGCACAAUGGGCGGAAGCGUGAUGCAGCAACGCCGCGUGCGGGAUGAUGGCCUUCGGGUUGAAACCCGCUUUCGCCUGUGACGAAGCGUGAGUGACGGUAAUGGGUAAAGAAGCACCGGCUAACUACGUG